AACAAGGUCAGUGGGAAGAGACAAUGGAG
rnacentral:piRNA from 2 species